UACUUAUAACAAGAAGCAGGAAAGUAUGGUUGAUGAUGAGGAAUCUGAGAAGUCUAAGUCUGAAAUUAAUGAUGAUGAUGAGGAAAGUGAGCAGGAGGAUGACGAAGAGGAGGAAGAGGAGGAUGAUGAUGACGAAGAUGAGGACUGAAAUUGGGUGUUUUCUAACUUGGAAGUUUUGGCUGAUCAAGGGCAUAUGUGAUGGAUGUUUGUAUGUUCAUACUUUGGGUUACAUCAUGUGAUUUUUGAACCGGUUGAACAUGAAAAUAUGCCUUGUGCAAUGCUGUGUUAUCAUGUUAGAUUACUUGUUUGCUCAGCAUGAGCAUGUUUCCUAGCACUUUAUAAGUUCUCACAGAGCACUCCUCAGCUUUAAAUGAUAUCUUAAGCAUAUUAUUCCUACAUUUUCUUUUAGUUAGAAUUAAAUGUGUAUAUAUUAAGAAUGAGAGAUGGCUCGUUGGUUUCACAUGAGCAUCUCAUUCAUCUUUCA